UACAGAGGUCUCAAGCGUUGUUCGGAUUCAUUGGGCGUAAAGGGUGCGUAGGUGGCGAAGUAAGUCGGGUGUGAAAUCUCGGGGCUUAACCCCGAAACUGCAUUCGAUACUGCUUUGCUCGAGGACUGGAGAGGAGAUCGGAAUUCACGGUGUAGCAGUGAAAUGCGUAGAUAUCGUGAGGAACACCAGAGGCGAAGGCGGCUACCUGGACAAUUGCUGACGCUCAGGCACGAAAGCGUGGGGAGCAAAAGGG
rnacentral:rRNA from 1 species